rnacentral:lncRNA from 1 species
CCUGGUAUCUAUGAUGAGCUUAUUUUCUGAAUUGUUUUCCUAUAUAUUAUACUUUAUUAUGUCAAUUUUAACAUUGUUUUGUCAUUACAGUACCUUAGAAACUGUGUGUUUAUGAUUGCCAAGAGGAAAGGAGUUUUUCACUGAAUUUUUAUGAGAAGGUUAAUAUCAACAGGUCAUUUUCAAUAUGCUUCACUUGUAUAUUUAGUGGAC